rnacentral:lncRNA from 1 species
GAGGGGGCAGAGGGGAAGGUGAAGGAGGUGGUGGAGGGAAUGGUGAAGGAGGUGGUGGAACAACUGGAGACGGAUAAGGUAAGGGUGGAGGAGGGGAUGGUGGAUGAGGUGGUGGAACGGUUGGAGAUGGAUAAGGAUAUGGUGCAAAAGGUGGUUGAGGGGAUGGGGGCGGAGGUGGUGGAGGGAAUAGUGGAACGUCUGGAGAUGGCGGAGGGGAUGGUGGAGGAGGUGGUGGAACGAUCGGAGACGGAUAAGGAAAUGGUGCAGAAGGCGGUGGAGGGGGUGGAGGGGAUGGUGGAGUAGGUGGUGGAAUGGCUGGAGACGGAUAAGGAGAUGGCUCGGAAGGUGGUGGAGGGGGCGGAGACGGAGAUGGUGCAGAAGGUGGUGGAGGGGGAGAAGUAGAUGGAGGAGGUGCAGAAGGUGGUGGAGGGGGAGAAGGGGAUGGAGGAGGUGGUGGAAUGGCUGAAGAUGGGGGAGUGGGCAGAGGGAAUGGUGGAGGAGGUGGUUGAACGGCCGGAGAUGGAUAAGGAGAUAAUACAAAAGAUAAUUCCUUCGUCGGAUAAGAAGCCAAUGAAUUAAUGGCACAAACACCAUAUGGCAAAUCACCGUUUCUUCUUAUAUAUCCAUACCCCUCCACUCCCCAUGAUGUACCCCAUGAAUUCUUGAUUAUCCAGUAGUCAU